rnacentral:lncRNA from 1 species
UUAGAGUAAACUGUCAAGAACUAAAACUUACUUACUUUACCUUUCACCAUGGGACUUGUAACCGUCACUUCUGUCUUGAGUAGUUAAAAGAUAGAACAGUCUAACCAAGUGCCAUGUCUCUUAUUCUUGAUCAGCUAUAGCUCUAGAGUUUUUGUAGAUUUUCAAAUAAUACUCAGAGAUUCCUUGUAUGACUCUCUAAAUCUCUCUUUUGUGGUAUUUCUGGAUCCUUACCAAGGCAGUGAUGGUAUAUGCCUUCUCUCAAGAUAUGUGGUAUUUGUGGUAUAAGGCAUAGUGACAUUGCCUUCUCUCUCACCCUACUCUAAUAAGGCUUUAAUAUCUGGAGCUCAUAGGUGGGAGAUAAAGUAUACAUACUUACAAGACAUUUAUUGUAUAGUCAAACCAUGGAUCCAGAGAAACAAGUCAAUAAGUCAAAUCAAGAUGUGCAUGUGUGGCGAAUGAAUGGUGUAUGGUGAUGAUGGUGAUAACAAUGGUGGAAGUCUAAUUCUACUUUUGCUCUUUUGAGGGGAUUCAUACCUUCCUUGCUUUUUGAAACUUUAUGAGGAGAAUGAGAUGCUGUUCUUUUUCUUUCCUCUCAGGUGGGUAUCUUGUACCCCUAAUUCUACUGUCGGACACUUGUCCAUUUUUACCUCUCGUCUCACUUUUUCUUUCUUUCGAGGUUCCGGGAACUUGCCCCUUUUUAUUUGCUCGUUUAUUUUUUAUUUUUUUUCUUUUCUUCUCUUUUCUCUCUUUUUUUCAGAGCACUCAUCUCUUGAGAUAAUAUAGCAAGUGGUAGUAGCAAGAUAACUUGAGCAUUUAUUUCACAAGGGAAAACAGAAAUAUUUUUGGCUAUUCUCUCCCGGAUUAGGAGUAGAAUAUUUUUGGGUGGUUCUGGAGAUGGAUGUGGAUGGUACUUCCGGAGUAGAAGUAGCAUAUAUGAGUGAAUGUGCAAGUGAAAUCUUGAUUUAACCACAUGACAAGCUCCUAAGGGUCUACACAGCUUGACCACACUCAAUGCUCAUAAGCAGUAAAUAGUAAAUGUGUGGCUCAAAAUCUAGCAAGCAUGUAUAUCUAGCUGUGGUAGGAAUUUAAACUCUCAUCAUACAGGAACUCAUCAUGCAACAUUUUAAAGAUUUUUCAAAGAUAAAAUUUUCCAAAAUUCUAGCAUCUCUAGAAACAGAUAAACAGCAGCUCAACCUUCCCAUAUCAUAUCCGUUAACAACUUAGAUUUCAGAUCAAGUUUUCAUCCCACAAGUUUAGAUCUAGAGCAAGCUUUAAAUUAUAACAGUUAUAUCUAAACUUGAGACAGAACUUCAAAUUUGCAAAUUAGGCAGAGCAACUAUUCAUCAUAUCCAUGCUAGAGUUUUAUUAUUAAGAUUCAGAUUAGCAUAGCCACUUUAUUUAUUUAUUAAACACACUAAGCAAAAGAUAUAUAUAUAGGCACGAAAUAUUUAUUUGGUUUUUCAUAGUUUAUGUAUUUUAAUAUUCUAAUAUAAUAUAAGUAUAAAGAUAGGUAGAAAUACUUAGCGAGAUAAAUGGGGGUGCUCUCCCCCAAGCUGAAUUUUGACGUAAUUUCUCUUGAUGUAGCUAGCAGGUGGCAGAGGUGUAUUUGAAAGUCAGCAGCAUUCUGACAGCGAUUAGAAUGUCCUCCGUCUGCUAGUCUUCUUGAUUCUUAAAUUCUGUGGAACUCAAAUAGACAACAAAGCUUGUGGAACUAAUUAAGUGUUAGCAUAAAUAUCUAGCCUUCAUCAUGUUGAGCUUCCUCAAUAAAUAUUACUCCCUAUUUUUAUAUUUUUAUUUUAUAAAGCAGAAAAGAAAUAUUUAUUUUAUUUUUAUGCCACCACAGUGAAGGUACUUAUGGGUUUUAUGUCACUCGUAUACUCACAUGGGGCUUAGUAUUUUUUAACAUUUUUAUUUUCUUUUCAAGAUAGCAUGACUAACUAACAAGCCAUUUAAGGAAAAAUGCAGAAAGGAUAAAUAUGGAUAACUACCGAUUUUACCUUUCGGCGAGGGUUCAAUGUUUUAAGUCUUCUGAACAAGACUUCUCACCGUGUUCAUUCUUUAGGUGCGUCAUUUGAUUCAGGUGUGGACCUUGACGUCUGCACCUCUUGAAGUGUGGUGUUGGCAAUAUCUUGCUCAGUGUGUUUGUGCUCUUAGAUCUAGGUCUUUCACUUGGUGGAGUCUGGGAGUUGUAAAACUCCUCCAUAUUUUGCUCGAAGUGUACCUGCUCAUAGAGACAAGGCAGAGAUCAAGUGCAUGGGCCCUGUUGGUGGAAAACACCAACAGAACCAAAUAAGUGUAGUUGUUCUUCUCUAACCUUAAGCAUAGUGAGCAAGACAAAGUUGAUGGAUGAUAAGUUCAUGAGUGUAGCACUUAUAACAUUUGUCUGAUCAGAUCGCUCGACCUAAUGGAAAGAUAAUACAUCUAUGUAUAUGUCUUUUUCUUUGUAUCUCUCAAUGAUUGAAUGUGUAACAUUUUAGCUCAUAUGAUUAGGAGUGUGAGAUCAUGGAGGUAGUACUAAGAACAAGGAUUAAAGGACUAAACAUGUUGAAUCAGUUGGGUUGGUUAAUCUAGAGUUGUAAAUCAUACAUGUUUGUCUCUUUUAUUUAUAUGUACCCUAGAACCAAGGAGAAGCUUAUAAAAGUGAUAGUCAAGUACCUUA